rnacentral:rRNA from 2 species
UUAAGCGAAUAAGCGUACACGGUGGAUGCCUAGGCAGUCAGAGGCGAUGAAGGACGUGCUAAUCUGCGAUAAGCGCCGGUAAGGUGAUAUGAACCGUUAUAACCGGCGAUUUCCGAAUGGGGAAACCCAGUGCAAUUCGUUGCACUAUCAUUACCUGAAUACAUAGGGUAAUGAAGCGAACCGGGAGAACUGAAACAUCUAAGUACCCCGAGGAAAAGAAAUCAAACGAGAUUCCCCCAGUAGCGGCGAGCGAACGGGGAGCAGCCCAGGACCUUAAUCAGCAUCAGUGUUAAGAGAACAGUCUGGAAAGGCUGGCCACAGCAGGUGAUAGCCCUGUAUCUGAAAGCACUGGUGUUGUGAGUCCGAUGAGUAAGGCGGGACACGUGUUAUCCUGUCUGAAUACGGGGGGACCAUCCUCCAAGGCUAAAUACUCCUGACUGACCGAUAGUGAACCAGUACCGUGAGGGAAAGGCGAAAAGAACCCCGGCGAGGGGAGUGAAAAAGAACCUGAAACCGUGUACGUACAAGCAGUGGGAGCACCCUUCGGGGUGUGACUGCGUACCUUUUGUAUAAUGGGUCAGCGACUUAUAUUCUGUAGCAAGGUUAACCGAAUAGGGGAGCCGCAGGGAAACCGAGUCUUAACUGGGCGAAUUAGUUGCAGGGUAUAGACCCGAAACCCGGUGAUCUAGCCAUGGGCAGGUUGAAGGUUGGGUAACACUAACUGGAGGACCGAACCGACUAAUGUUGAAAAAUUAGCGGAUGACUUGUGGCUGGGGGUGAAAGGCCAAUCAAACCGGGAGAUAGCUGGUUCUCCCCGAAAGCUAUUUAGGUAGCGCCUCGUGAAUUCAUCUCCGGGGGUAGAGCACUGUUUCGGCUAGGGGGUCAUCCCGACUUACCAACCCGAUGCAAACUGCGAAUACCGGAGAAUGUUAUCACGGGAGACACACGGCGGGUGCUAACGUUCGUCGUGAAGAGGGAAACAACCCAGACCGCCGGCUAAGGUCCCAAAGUCAUAAUUAAGUGGGAAACGAAGUGGGAAGGCUCAGACAGCCAGGAUGUUGGCUUAGAAGCAGCCAUCAUUUAAAGAAAGCGUAAUAGCUCACUGGUCGAGUCGGCCUGCGCGGAAGAUGUAACGGGGCUAAAUUAUGCACCGAAGCCGCGGCAGCGAUAUGUAAAUAUUGUUGGGUAGGGGAGCGUUCUGUAAGCCUGUGAAGGUGUGCUGUGAGGCAUGCUGGAGGUAUCAGAAGUGCGAAUGCUGACAUAAGUAACGAUAAUGCGGGUGAAAAACCCGCACGCCGGAAGACCAAGGGUUCCUGUCCAACGUUAAUCGGGGCAGGGUGAGUCGACCCCUAAGGCGAGGCUGAAAAGCGUAGUCGAUGGGCAACGGGUUAAUAUUCCCGUACUGGUGGUAACUGCGAAGGGGGGACGGAGAAAGCUAAAUCAUCCGGGCGACGGUUGUCCCGGUUUAAGCGUGCAGGUGGACUGACCAGGCAAAUCCGGUCGGUUGUUAACACUGAGGCGUGACGACGAGCCACUACGGUGGUGAAGUGAUUGAUGCUCUGCUUCCGGGAAAAGCCUCUAAGCUCCAGGUUACCAUUAAUCGUACCCCAAACCGACACAGGUGGUCAGGUAGAGAAUACUCAGGCGCUUGAGAGAACUCGGGUGAAGGAACUAGGCAAAAUGGUGCCGUAACUUCGGGAGAAGGCACGCUGGCAUUAGGUGAAGUGGUUUACCCACGGAGCUGAAGCCAGCCGCAGAUACCAGCUGGCUGCAACUGUUUAUUAAAAACACAGCACUGUGCAAACACGAAAGUGGACGUAUACGGUGUGACGCCUGCCCGGUGCCGGAAGGUUAAUUGAUGAGGUCAGCCGCAAGGCGAAGCUUCUGAUCGAAGCCCCGGUAAACGGCGGCCGUAACUAUAACGGUCCUAAGGUAGCGAAAUUCCUUGUCGGGUAAGUUCCGACCUGCACGAAUGGCGUAAUGAUGGCCAGGCUGUCUCCACCCGAGACUCAGUGAAAUUGAACUCGCUGUGAAGAUGCAGUGUACCCGCGGCAAGACGGAAAGACCCCGUGAACCUUUACUAUAGCUUGACACUGAACAUUGAGCCUUGAUGUGUAGGAUAGGUGGGAGGCAACGAAGUGUGGACGCCAGUCUGCACGGAGCCAUCCUUGAAAUACCACCCUUUAACGUUUGAUGUUCUAACCCGGGUCCAUAAUCUGGAUCGGGGACCGUGUCUGGUGGGUAGUUUGACUGGGGCGGUCUCCUCCCAAAGAGUAACGGAGGAGCACGAAGGUUGGCUAAGCAUGGUCGGACAUCAUGCGGUUAGUGCAAAGGCAUAAGCCAGCUUGACUGCGAGAGUGACGGCUCGAGCAGGUACGAAAGUAGGUCUUAGUGAUCCGGUGGUUCUGAAUGGAAGGGCCAUCGCUCAACGGAUAAAAGGUACUCCGGGGAUAACAGGCUGAUACCGCCCAAGAGUUCAUAUCGACGGCGGUGUUUGGCACCUCGAUGUCGGCUCAUCACAUCCUGGGGCUGAAGUAGGUCCCAAGGGUAUGGCUGUUCGCCAUUUAAAGUGGUACGCGAGCUGGGUUUAGAACGUCGUGAGACAGUUCGGUCCCUAUCUGCCGUGGGCGCUGGAGAACUGAGGGGGGCUGCUCCUAGUACGAGAGGACCGGAGUGGACGCAUCACUGGUGUUCGGGUUGUCAUGCCAAUGGCACUGCCCGGUAGCUAAAUGCGGAAGAGAUAAGUGCUGAAAGCAUCUAAGCACGAAACUUGCCCCGAGAUGAGUUCUCCCUGACCCUUUAAGGGUCCUGAAGGAACGUUGAAGACGACGACGUUGAUAGGCCGGGUGUGUAAGCGCAGCGAUGCGUUGAGCUAACCGGUACUAAUGAACCGUGAGGCUUAACCUU